rnacentral:tRNA from 1 species
GCAUUAGUAGCUCAGCGCCAGAGCGCCGGUCUUGUAAACCGGCCGCCGGAGGUUAAAAUCCUCCCUACUGCCCGCU